rnacentral:rRNA from 1 species
AGCAUCUGAGAUGAAGUAGGACCACCC